UUCGGCAUGCCUUUAUUUCUUCAGAAAAGCGCAACAAAUUAUAUUAUAUGUCGUUAAAAGUUCAACAUCUUACUCCUCUAAAACGUAAAUUCGCAUGCGGAUACCAAAGUUGUUGUAUUUACGGAAGGACAAAAUGAGCACAACCGGGGCGUGCGUGAAAUUAGACAGUUCAACUUUGCCGCCCGAGUUAACGCUGGCAUAAGUGUACGGGGCGGGUGGGGGGAUGGAGGGCUGCCCCCUCUCCCUCUAAUUUUUGUCAAAGAGGGCAAAGUCGUACAAUUUUUGGUUGGGCGACAGGGGAGGUAUCACAAGCCGUUGGGCAAAAAGCGACCGCCUCCCUGAAAU